GCUCCCUCCCUGUCCCAGCAGCCAAACAUACACGGUUCCCCCUUUCCCUUCCAUGAAAGAAAGACACAGGAGCAGAAAGAGAGGAAGAGAAAGGAAUCUGCGUCAGUGGCACUGGGAAGGCUGUCGCCUGUCCUCAUUGCGAGUCACCGUCCCUGAGCUGCAGCACCAUGGAGCCAGCUUCGUCGCGCUGCCUCGGCCGUCUGUGCUAUCGUCGCCGCCGCUGGUUCACCUGGCGCCGCCGUCGAAGUUGAAGCACGGGGAGAGAGGGUUCGCGAGUGAGAGAGGGGUGAUGGCCUGGAUCUGCCGCACCUAGUCUCUUCUGCGAAGUCACCGUCGUCAUCCAAGCCCGUCACCGCCACUUGCAUCGUUGCCGUCUCUGCCCAGCGCCGCCGCAGAUGAUAGGUCGCCGGGAACCACCACUGAAGCUCGUGUAGUCAUCAUCCUUGCCAACAGCGAGAGAGGAGCAAGAUGAACCCUUCUGUCUCUGUUGUUCUGGUCCGCUGAGAAAGGAAAGACGCUGCCUUUGUACUUCACGCGUCGCCGAUGAGCACGGAGAAGAGGAGCUGUGUCCGCGUCACUGCCGUUUGAGGGGUUGUGCGUGGCCGCCGUUGUACCGCCCUGCUUCACCGUGACUGAGCUCUGUCACUCCCUGCUCUUUGGGCUUGUGAUGUUGUUGCGGAAAUUGCUACAGGAAGAGGAACAGGCUGAGUCACCGUGCUUUGGGCCACCGGGAGUGGUUAUGUGGCUUCCGGGAUCACCGCCGGAGCUCUGGGCUGAGCUUCUGCCACUUGAGACCCUGCUGCCACUGUGUUCCACCGCCGUUGCCGUCACCGGGACUUUUGCUCGCGAUUGUCACUUGGGGUUACUGAUGGAGCCGCUGCUGGGUUGAUAUGGAACUGCGGCUGCUUCGUUUUGUUAAUUCAUGUUGCUAUGGUUAUUGCGAAAGUGGCUGGGAGCUGAGGUUUUGGUUGUUGAUUUCGGACUGAGGCAGAAAGGACUCUGUGAGACGUUUGGGUUAUGGAAUUGCGUUUUGAGGAUACGGGCGCAGAAGUUAUGAAGAGUUUAUCUAGUUGUUGUUGAGAUGCUCUGUAUUGCUUUAGAUUAUUAUUCUUGUACCCUCGCCUU